rnacentral:sRNA from 1 species
CUUGCAUGUGUUCAAAUUCUUUUCCCCUUGUUCAGUAGCCUCUUCUUUAAGAAGCCAGAGUAAGUAUACUAUGAGCUUGCUUGCUGGACUGAGGAGGCAGGUAAUUAAGUUAGGGCAAUAUAUAAGAAUACAUGUUUUGAGAACUUUGAAAAAUUUGAAGAGGUCUAUAAUUACUGCAUUCACUGUACUCACUUUAUUUUGAAACAGAGUCUUGCUCUGUCACCCAGGCUCGAGUGCAGUGUUAUGAUCUCAGCUCACUGCAACCUCCACCUCCCAAGUUCAAGUGAUUCUCCCACCUCAGCCUCCCGAGUAGCUGGGAUUACAGGCGUGCGCCACCACACCUGGCUAAUUUUUGUAUUUUUAGUAGAGAUGAGGGUUCACCAUGUUGGCCAGGGUGGUCUUGAACUCCUGACCUCUUGAUCCACCUGUCUUGGGCUCCCAAAGUGCUGGGACUACAGGCCUGAGGCAUCGCACCUGGCCUAUUUUUUAUUUUAAUUUUUAUAGAUUUACAGGGGUACAAUGCAGUUUUGUUGUAUGGAUAUACUGCACGGCGGUGAAGUCUGUGCUUUAGUGUAACCAUCACCUGAGCAGUGAACAUUGUACUCAUUAGGUAAUUUCCCAUCCCUCAUCCCCAUCCCACUUUCUCACCUUUCCGAGUCCCCAAUGUCUAUUAUUUCACUCUGUAGGUCCAUAUGUACACAUUUGGUUCCCACUUAUAAGUGAGAACAUGUGGUAUUUAAUCUUCCAUUUCUGAGUAUCUACUUUUUUUUUCUCACUUUUUACUCUCUGGCAGUAUGGCUUGUAUUAUCUUGAAAUUUCUUUAAAAAGCCCUUCCUUCUUUGUGUGUUCAUGCUGAACAUCCUUACCCCAUAUCUCUAAUCUCGGGUUGUAUUUGUAUAAUUAUGAGUAAUGCCUGGCUCUCCCACCAGACUUAAACUUUCUGAAAGCACAGAUAAUAAUGAGUCUUUUACUUAAUUACAUCCUAACAUUUUGAGCAGAGCGAGUAACUCACAGCAGGUGCUCAAUGGAUAUGUGUUGCAUGAAAAUAUAAUCCCAUUCAUUUCUCUUUCUUUUUUGUAUACAGUACCAGGUCAUGCUGGCCGACUGGUGUUUGGGUUCCUGAAUGGCAGAGCCUGUGUGAUGAUGCAGGGCAGGUUCCACAUGUAUGAAGGGUACUCACUCUGGAAGGUAAGUCAGGGGGAUAGGCCUGGUUGGAUCUGGAAGAGGCAGGAGAGAACUGUCUAGCCUCUUUCGCUACCUAGCUGUCUGGACUAGGUGGAUUUUUGGUCCUCUCCUUCCUUUUCUUUCACGAUGUAUGUCAUGCAUUUCAGUGUAGCUGAAUUAAUGAAAUUUUGUAAAUUUUUUUCUGAUCUUUUGCUUCGAAGGUGACAUUCCCAGUGAGGGUUUUCCACCUUCUGGGUGUGGACACCCUGGUGGUCACCAAUGCAGCAGGAGGGCUGAACCCCAAGUUUGAGGUUGGAGAUAUCAUGCUGAUCCGUGACCAUAUCAACCUACCUGGUUUCAGUGGUCAGAACCCUCUCAGAGGGCCCAAUGAUGAAAGGUAUGUAUGUUACUCCGUUUUUUUUUUGAUGGGUAGGAUUUAAAGACUUCUAGGAGCUGUGGGAGAAUUUUUUAAAUUCCGUUUAUGUGAGAUAAUUCAACCUGUGUCCUAGGUUUGGAGUUCGUUUCCCUGCCAUGUCUGAUGCCUACGACCGGACUAUGAGGCAGAGGGCUCUCAGUACCUGGAAACAAAUGGGGGAGCAACGUGAGCUACAGGAAGGCACCUAUGUGAUGAUAGCAGGCCCCAGCUUUGAGACUGUGGCAGAAUGUCGUGCGCUGCAGAAGCUGGGAGCAGACGCUGUUGGCAUGAGUACAGUACCAGAAGUUAUCGUUGCACGGCACUGUGGACUUCGAGUCUUUGGCUUCUCUCUCAUCACUAACAAGGUCAUCAUGGAUUACGAAAGCCUGGAGAAGGCCAACCAUGAAGAAGUAUUGGCAGCUGGCAAACAAGCUGCACAGAAAUUGGAACAGUUUGUCUCCACUCUUAUGGCCAGCAUUCCACUCCCUGACAAAGCCAGUUGACCUGCCUUGGAGUGAUCUGGCGUCUCCCACACAAGAUCCAAGUAGCUGUUACCUUCUUUGGCCCCUUGCUGGAGUCAUGUUUCUCUGUCCUUAGGUUGUAGCAGAAAGGAAAAGAUUCCUGUCCUUCACCUUUCCCACUUUCUUCUACCAGACCCUUCUGGUGCCAGAUCCUCUUCUCAAAGCUGGGAUUACAGGUGUGAGCAUAGUGAGACCUUGGCGCUACAAAAUACAGCUGUUCUCACUCCUGUUCUUUCUUACACAAGAGCUGGAGCCUAUGCCCUACCACACAUCUGUGGAGAUGCCCAGGAUUUGACUUGGGCCUUAGAACUUUGCACAGUAGCCGCUACUAGCUUUUUGAGAUAAUACAUUCCUGGGGGCUCAGUUCUGCCUUAUCUAAAUCACCAGAGACCAAACAAGGACUAACCCAAUACCUCUUGGACUUUAUUUAAUGUCAUAGUGUUGUCAGAAUAAAGAGAAAGAUGAAAU